AUGAGCCUAUGCAAACCCAAACCAAAAAAUCCCUAAAAUCUAGGGUUUCACCGUGGCAUUUUGCUCGCGCUCAGUUGCUUGGCAACGUGCGCUUUGUCACUGCAGUAACGUCUUCUUUGCCGGGGCAUAUCACUUUUUUCUUAAUACGCGUUGCCACCUCUGUGCAUUUUGGUACUAUUUUUUGAAUCAGACACAAUUUUUCAAUCAGCCAGCAUGACUAAACAAGAAUCUAGUAAAAGAGCUGCUGUGGAAGGGGAAAAAGAAGAUAUAAUCAUUGCUCUGCCGAGAAACGUGGUCGAUCUUAUCCUUGAGCUCUUGCCUGUUCACGAUGCAGCAAGAACUAGUAUUUUGUCUAGUAAAUGGAGAGAUAUUUGGGUCUCACUUCCAUUUCUAGUGCUAAAUAACUAUUUUUGCAAAAAGUUGACAGCAAAAUCUGCAAUUUUUUUUAGAAUAACAGUCGAUGAGAUUCUGUUACAGCAUGUUGGAGACAUUGUGAAGUUUGUUCUCGACGUUUCAGGAAUAAAUUUGUCUUCAUAUGCUAGUAUUAAUAGAUGGAUGCGUUAUGUAUUUAACUGUCCGACCUUGACACAUUUGGAACUCUUCAACUGUGUCUUCAAACCACCAACUUAUUUUCUUGGCUUUCGGAAUCUUACGUAUAUUCAUCUAGAAAGAAUAACAUUUGAGCCAACCAACCAGUUUUGUGUUAUCGAUGUUCCCCUUCUUGUGGAUUUAGUCUUGACGUUCUGUUGUGGCACUCAAUACUUGAAGAUGGUUUCACCACAGUUGGAGUCCUUGGUUGUUCUUGCGGGUCACUAUCUCGUGCUAAAUUGCUUCAUGAAUUGCAAAAAAAUGAGCGUGUUGGUGAUUGAAUUGGAAAAAGUGGAGGAUAAUCCAAAACAUGAUGAAAUAUAAACCUUGGAAAAGUUUCUAUUUAGCUUUCCUUCACUUGAACAACUUUGUUUGGGUUCCUUGGUCCUUGAGCUUUUGAAUGCAAAUAUAGUUCUGGAUGAGCUUCCUCCCAAGCUCAACUGCUUGUGGUAUCUACACUUAGGAGUUGAUUUCAACAAAUUGGAUCAGACUUCUUGUUCUGUACAGUUAAUCAAGAGUUUUCCUAAUUUGAGUAAACUUCAUAUUACGGUCCAGGAUGGCGAUGACAAUGCUGAAACAGUUAUGAAAUAUCUGGAGACACCAACCUGCUUGAAUAGACCACUUAACAAGCUUGAGUAUGUGACCAUCAAUUCUUUUCAGUGUUCAAAAACUGAAGUGUUUUUUGUAAAGCUAUUAUGUGCUUGCACUCCAUCUCUUGUAAGGAUGUACAUUCAGCAAGGGAUAGCCAUUGAUUCCAAGGAAGAAAGGAAUAUCACCAUAAAAUUGAUGCGUUUUCCCAGAGCUUCCACACGGGCAGAACUGUUCUAUUUUCCAUUUGAGGCUACGAACGCAGACUGAUGCCCCUGUUCUCAAUGAGUUUUGUUAAACAAGGUACUGAAUUGGCCAAUUACGUAAAACGUGUGGUUUCUGUGUCAAUGUGUGUGAUAAGAUUAACAGUUUUUGUAUGCAUAUUUAACUACCUGUUUGGUAACCAAGGAUGGUAUUUGACAGGAAGAUACAAUGAAAAUAUUUCCUGUUGGUUGUCUGGUUAGAGGCAUUAACACCUGUGUUUUUUGGGAUGGUGAGUUAGCAAUUGCAAACUGGUUCUAACCAAAUUGAAUGUAUUCACAUUUUUAUGUAGAGUUUUUGUUUCCUAUUGCUAUGUUACCACAAUGUUGAAGA